rnacentral:lncRNA from 13 species
AUGUUGUCUUGUCUCUGUCCUUUCCCUUCACCCUGUCUCCCUCUGCUGGUCGUUGUUAUGUUACCUUUUCUCCCCCUCUUUUCCCCAGCUGUGCCUUGUCUCCUCCUAAUUACCCAUUCACCCCGUUCCCCACCUGUUCCCUUUUUCCCUCUGAUUAGGUCCCUAUAUCUGUCUCUGUUUCUGCUCCUGUCCUUGUCGGAUUCUUGUUUGUUUGUUUAUGUGUCUCAUGCCUUGUCUCCUCCUAAUUACCCAUUCACCCCGUUCCCCACCUGUUCCCUUUUUCCCUCUGAUUAGGUCCCUAUAUCUGUCUCUGUUUCUGCUCCUGUCCUUGUCGGAUUCUUGUUUGUUUGUUUAUGUGUCUCAUGCCUGAACCAGACUAUCAUCGUGUGUGCUGCAACCUUGUCCUGUCCUGUCGGAAUCUACCUGUCCAUCUGAGCCCACGUAUGUUCGUCAUUAAAGUACUCUGUUUGUUAAUUCGCUUUUGGGUCCUCAUUCACGCACCAUAACAGUACCAUGUUCAAAAUAGGAGGUCCAAGCACAGGAAGUAGCUCUUUCAGUAGUUUCGUUGGAAUAGGGUCCAGCGGGAAGCUGGAAGGUUUAGAGGCCAUGACUAUUUUUGUGAAUCUGUCGAGAGAUACAGGAUUAAAAAACUUGAGUGUCUCCAUUGAUCCUAAGUCCUAGCAGUUCUGUGCAGACUCAGGACAACUGAAUUUUGGAGAAAUACGCAGAUUCAAAGAGAAUUUAGUCAGCCACUGUAGAAAAGGCCCAUAGAGUUGGUGGAAUAAUCCUUUAAUUCAUUGCCAUUUACUCAGCUGGGCCAGGGGCGCUUUAAUUAGGUCAGGUGGAAAUGUCCGACAGAUCUCAACUCCAUAAAAGGAGGAAAUUGCCAUCACCUGAUCUCGCUGCUUUCUCUUCCUUAACUCCAUCUGAUCCAGAAGUUCUGUGCGUCCAUGAAUCCACGUAAGUCCACCGACUAUGUUACCUUUCAUCUGAAUUAUCUGUGGCGAUCGGGAGAGUGGGCCAUUCAAUUAUUGUUAAUAGUUAUUACCGCUGAGCGCGGCUUGGAGCGCAGCUUCAAACAUAUUGUGUAAUGUGAAUUGUCAAUGAUCACGGCCCUAUGGAUCCUCAUAGGUGAAUUAUGCAAUCGAUAUGGUUCAUAUGUAUUGAAAUUAAUUAUAUGUACACAUGAAGACAAUUGAAAGAGUGAAAUGAGAAACGUCAUUGUUUGCUAACUGAUUGACUUUGAUGGGGAUUAUAGAUUGUAUAACCAUUCACUUUUUGUAUUCUUUCAUGAUUUAUGAUAAAUAGUUACGAGCCUAAAUGACUCGCGGAUGAUUACUAUUGACUUAAUGAACUGAACUGUUGAACUCCCUAACUUAUGUUAAUAAUGAAUGAUCUGAUUUGAUCUUUGAUUAUGAAUUUGAUUGGAUACAUGUUAUUUGUUUCCUUUGUGAUGCAACACAGACUACUCAGUAAAUAUACCACUUUAUGGUUAAAGGAAUUCCUGCCUCAGUCUCAUCCAUUCCUCUGUCACCUGACACGUGAACACCUGUUCACUUUCACUGUCAGUCAUCCUACCUGUCCAGCUACCCACACAGAUUCCACUAAUCUUUCAGCCACCAAUUGUAUUUAGUCAGCCACCAAUUGUGCAAGUUCUCCCACUUCAAAAGAUGAGAGAGGCCUGUAAUCACAUUGUAGGAUUUUUUAUGAAUUUAUUUGCAAAUUAUGGUGGAAAAUAAGUAUUUGGUCAAUAACAAAAGUUUCUCAAUACUUUGUUAUAUACCCUUUGUUGGCAAUGACAGAGGUCAAACGUUUUCUGUAAGUCUUCACAAGGUUUUCACACACUGUUGCUGGUAUUUUGGCCCAUUCCUCCAUGCAGAUCUCCUCUAGAGCAGUGAUGUUUUGGGGCUGUUGCUGGGCAACACGGACUUUCAAGUCCCUCCAAAGAUUUUCUAUGGGGGUGAGAUCUGGAGACUGGCUAGGCCACUCAAGGACCUUGAAAUGCUUCUUACGAAGCCACUCCUUCAUUGCCCGGGCGGUGUGUUUGGGAUCAUUGUCAUGCUGAAAGACCCAGCCACGUUUCAUCUUCAAUGCCCUUGCUGAUGGAAGGAGGUUUUCACUCAAAAUCUCACGAUACAUGGCCCCAUUCAUUCUUUCCUUUACACGGAUCAGUCGUCCUGGUCCCUUUGCAGAAAAACAGCCCCAAAGCAUGAUGUUUCCACCCCCAUGCUUCUUUCUUUUCACCCCCAUUGUUCUUUGGAUGCAACUCAGCAUUCUUUGUCCUCCAAACACGACGAGUUGAGUUUUUACAAAAAGUUAUA